CCAAAUAUUUCAAAUUUCCGCGCCUUAAAUAACAGUCUCCUUUUAUUUAGUUAGUUUCCUCGGCAGGUUUGGCCGCCCACUUGUCUCUGUCCCUCUACGAGCCUGAGACGCCACGGGCGCCUAGUUGCUGCUUGCAGCCCCCUCGUGCUGCCCCAGGCCCAGUUUGCACCGCAUCCAGCGCGCGACUAGAGCCACUGCACCCUCCUGCCGCGACCUCGCAUGACCCAGCUGUCCAGGCACCCAGAGCCACUAAGGCCGCCCCGACCCGGACGCCUGCCUGCUUCUCAGCUUGACUUCCCUUCCCGAACUUGGGAGCGUCUUCUGCUUUGGGGUUUGGAUCACCAUGGCUCUGGAGCGGCGAAAGGGCUGCAACUAUAGGAAGGCAGCGGAGAAGGCCAGUGGCCGAAGCCAGCCCCAGCCCCCACCCCGCGGGUAACCUUGGAGGCGCCCUCGGAGCAGCGGUCCGCGAGGAGGCGGCAGCCACCCCACUGGAUAGUUCUGGCGACCUGUGCCUGAGGACUGGGGCCGAAGGGCGGCGUGGGAGCAGGAGUGAUCGGGCGGACCCUGUUUAGGCUCUACCAACAGAAAAAAUGGACCAAGUCCCUCC